GAUGAACGCUAGCGGCAGGCUUAACACAUGCAAGUCGAGGGGUAGAGGCUUUCGGGCCUUGAGACCGGCGCACGGGUGCGUAACGCGUAUGCAAUCUGCCUUCCACAGAGGGAUAGCCCAGAGAAAUUUGGAUUAAUACCUCAUAGCAUAACCAGUCCGCAUGGUCUGGUUAUUAAAGUCACAACGGUGGAAGAUGAGCAUGCGUCCCAUUAGCUUGUUGGUAAGGUAACGGCUUACCAAGGCGACGAUGGGUAGGGGUCCUGAGAGGGAGAUCCCCCACACUGGUACUGAGACACGGACCAGACUCCUACGGGAGGCAGCAGUGAGGAAUAUUGGUCAAUGGGCGCAAGCCUGAACCAGCCAUGCCGCGUGCAGGAUGACGGUCCUAUGGAUUGUAAACUGCUUUUGUACGGGAAGAAACACUGAUUCGUGAAUCAGCCUGACGGUACCGUAAGAAUAAGGAUCGGCUAACUCCGUGCCAGCCGCCGCCGUAAUAC
rnacentral:rRNA from 1 species